AUGGUGGAGCAUUUUUGCUUCGAAUUACCACUGGUACUCAGCUGAUCCCGGAGAACUCAUUGAAAUCGAGUCAUCGGUAAUGCCCCGAGUUUGUUUACAAUAAUAUUCUGCACUUGUUAUUAUUGAUUGACCCAGCGAGAACCUAUUUGAAAUAUUUAUAAGCUCUAUUUUAUAAUUUAUGUUAGAUGCGUAUUCUAUCGCUUUGUCAUUGGAAAGUCUGAGCUUGUUGGCACUUUUGUACUGUGAUAACACAGGGUAUAACCCAUGGGACUCAUAGAAUUUUUACUCAAGAACUUUAAGAAAUGCUAAUGACUUUAUAUGACUCAAAUUAAGUCAUUUCAAACAUCAGUAACGACUUCAACGGAAUCCUGACUUGCAUCCCAAUUUGUUUGGGAAAUUGGAAUACAAAGGCCCUUUGCAGGUUGUUAAAUUUUUGAAUAAAUUUUAUAAUAUUUUUAACUGGGUGCAUGAGAAAACAUCUUAACCGGAAAUAAUAAGGCUGUGACAACUUUUAAACAAAGAGCGAUUAUACCACGCGUUGAGCAAAGUUAAUAAAUAAAAACUAAACGUGACUAUAAUUUUAAAAUUCGAAAGAAAGGGGAAUAAUUAAAUUGAAAAAUAAAAUAAAAACUGAAUAAUACAAUUUUGUUAUAGUUAAAUAUUUAAUUAUUAAGAUCACAUUAGCCCAAAAUUAACAAAAUGAAUAAAAAUUAUCACGCAAUGAUUUUAAUUAAAAUCCCUUAAUACUUGACUUGCAACCCAAUGUGUUUGGGAAAUUGUGAUACAAAGGCCCUUUGCAGGUUGUUAAAUUUUUGUAUAAAUUUAUAUUUUUAAGUGGGAGCAUGAGAAAACAUCUUAACCGGAAAUAAUAAGGCUGUGACAACUUUUAAACAAAAAGCGAUUAUUACUCGCGUUGCUCCAAGUUAAUAUAUAAAAACUAAACGUGACUGUUAUUAAUUAAAUUUUAAAAUUAAAAAAAAACUGAAUAAUA